AGAUUUAAAAAUAUACUAAAAAGUAUCAUUUUCUAU
rnacentral:tRNA from 1 species